CACUCUGACGUCAAAAGUGUGGCCAGUCCGUCUGCUGCUGUGAGAGUGAAGGUCGUGAGGUCGCACGGUGGAGUGGAAGCAGCCACGUCCCGUGUCUCUGUCCGGAGAAACCAUGACUCACUUUCUACGGAAAAUGCGAAAACCAAAACAAUCAACAUCGAACCCUCCCAGGCUGUAUUCGCAUUUGGCGGACUUUCUACUCCCGAGACUGAGCCUCAAAGAGCCAACACCAGACAUAACUAGGCAAUGGCGUGAGCAGGAUGAGAAGACCGCCAGUGAGUGGGACAAGAGCACGACACUGUACUCCAACUCCUUCGUCUUCAUCAAACUCCUCGGCGUCGGCAAAUACGGAGAGAUCUGCUUGGUGAAGAACCCGGAAUCGAGAAAUCUCUACGCACUGAAGUGUGUCAAGCUCUUCGGACAAGAAGCGGAGGCCAAGAUGGUGGUGAACGAACGCAACGUGCUGAGUGAAGUGAACAGUGAGUGGAUACUGCACAUGUACCACAGCGCCAUCGACGAAGCCAACUACAAUGUUCUCCUGGAAUACGUGCCUGGGGGCAACCUGGACGCGCUGCUGAGGAAGGAGGGCACUCUGAGUGAGAUCCAGAGCAAGUUCUACGGCGCCGAAAUGUUGAUGGCCAUCAACGUGCUGCACCGACACGGCUACAUGCACCGCAACAUCCAGCUGGACGUCUUCCUCGUGGACGUCACGGGUCACCUCAAACUGAGAGAUUUUGGCCUGGCUGUACGGUUUAUUCCACUGCAGUUGUGCAAGUACUUAGCUCAUGACCCCUCUUUUGAUGAAGAUGGCGCUCCCAUUCUUCCGCGGGACCGACGGGCCAUGGUGCAACUCUAUCAGCGGCGAGCGCAAGGCAAUGUUGGUACACUUGAUUACAAGGCCCCCGAGGUAGUGCUUACUGGAGUGGUUGAGGGUGCCACGCGGGAAUCCAGAGACACCUCACUGGACCGCUGGCACAUCUUCCGUAACAGGCCGAGCAAGAAGCUGAGCAGCUGCACCAGCUACACCUUCGCCUGCGACUUCUGGUCCUUCGGCAUCUGCAUGUACCGGAUGCUCUUUGGACACCUCCCGUUCACGGCGAGAAACGAAGAGGACAGGAUGGCGCAGAUUGUAAAUUGGCGAACCACCCUCAUUUUCCCCAACGUCAAGCCCAUUUCUGACGAGGUCAAGGACGUCUUGAAAAGCCUGCUGUGUAACGAGUCUGACAGACUGGGUGCGAACGGUUGUGAGGAGGUGAUGCUUCACGUCUUCUUCGAAGGAGUUCACUGGCCUUCCUUGCGGUGGGAGUGUAUGAUUACCAUGCUAGACAGCUCUGCGUCUCCACACCCUUUGAAUUCCCCAAACGCUGUUCUACCUCCGUCGACGCCAUGCCGACAGGGGGCUGUGUUGAAGGAAGGAGAGAUACCGACAGUUCCUUUGCAGCUGUCGACAGGUCCUCUUCCAUAGCGCUAGGAAGCAGCUACAGCAGACUACACCACUCCUCCGCCUCAAGUUCCGUAAUCGCUGACCUGCCGGCACUUCUAAGGGUAUCAGAAAUGGCCAUUCCCCCGGAAUCCAACCGGGAGAGGGAGGAGUCCGACAUCUAC
rnacentral:misc_RNA from 1 species